GAUGAACGCUGGCGGCGUGCCUAAUACAUGCAAGUCGAGCGAACAGACGAGGAGCUUGCUCCUCUGACGUUAGCUACGGACGGGUGAGUAACAAGUGGUUAACCUACCUAUAUUACUGGGAUAACUUCGGGAAAACGGAGCUAAUACCGGCUAAUAUAUUGCACCCCAUGGCUCCAUAGUGAAAUACGGUUUUGCUGUCACUUAUAGAUGGAUCCGCGCCGCAUUAGCUAGUUGGUAAGGUAACGGCUUACCAAGGCGACGAUGCGUAGCCGACCUGAGAGGGUGAUCGGCCACACUGGAACUGAGACACGGUCCAGACUCCUAGUGACGCCAGCAGUAGGGAAUCUGCUGCAAUGAGCGAGAGUCUGACCGUGCAACAGCGCGGACGUAAAGGAGGUGUUGAAGUCGGAAACAUCUAUUACAAGGGAAGAACAAAUGUGGAAGUAGCGAUGCACAGCGUGACGGUACCUAGUCAGAAAGCCACGGCUAACUACGUU
rnacentral:rRNA from 1 species